AAGACUACACUUUCAGGAACCAUUUCUGUAGUUUGUUACUAUAGAAGUUUCUCUUGAUGUGUAAAACACGGAGAGAAAACAUUGUUUGUUAAGAGCAUAGGUUCAAAACUAUCAUGAAAUAUUUUAGACCCUAGCUCUAUGUCUCACUGUCUAUAUAAUUUGGGCAGGUUACUUGAAGUUAAUGAGCCUCAGUGUCUCAUGAUGUGAAAAUACAGUGAUUCUGA